GUAUAUAAAUAACCCUAGAGCUACUGGUGACAUCUCUGCUGCAGGUGGCAAAACUUUGACUUAGAAUGAAGCCAGCAAAAGAAACAGCGGAGAGAUAAAAAAGACUUGAGUCCUGAGGACAUCAUUUAAUCAUCUAAUCUAGCUGCUUGUGAAUGGAGCCCUACUGUGCUGAAUACCUUCUGUUUGCCCUCUGGAUCUGCCUUUCAGCCUUUCCCAUUCUGCUCUCUGCUCUGUGAGGAAAUCUGGACUGAGAGAAGCCAGUCUCAAAUAGCUGCACCUGAGGAACAAUACCUGAAGUGCUUUUGCCAUGUCUGGACCUGAUUUAGACGAUAAGAUGCUGAACUUGAAUGAAUGAUGUCAUGGGGUGAGACUUUUAGGAUACCGGGUAAGUAUAGUUUUGCACGUUAGGUGGGACAAGAAUUCUAGCCAGAAGUUGGACAAUGAUGCUUGUCAAAGAUGGCUCCUAAAUAAUUCUUUCCCUAUCUCUACAGACAUAACUACUCUUUCCUUCAAGGAAUGGAGUUCAUUUUCCUUCCCCGCAGUCUAGGCUGGCCUUGUAACUUACUUUGACCCAUAAAAUAUGGACAAAAUAAGUCCUGACAGUUUCUGUUUUCACGUUAUUGGAUUCCCG
rnacentral:lncRNA from 1 species